CUCUUGACAUUAUCCCAAGUCCAUAGGAGAAAUGCAAUUCGGUUCUCUACAGCGGUAAUGCUCCUAUAAGAUGCACAUCGUGCUGGCGAUCUAAACAGCUCAGUACCUAUGAAGUACAACUCGUACCCAUUCGGGACACCAUCUUGUUCUACAAGGUGCAGCAUUUUCAUAACCUCCUCUUCCUCAUUGCUGAUUAGAUUUCUUUCAUUCAUAGUCCUUUAAAUCAUGCUCUUAGAUAUGCGCUUGACAUAGUACUCCAUACUCUUACUCUACUUGGGUGGUGGACUAUCAACAACAUGCUCCUUUCCUGACCUUUGCGACACACGACCCACACUAGACCAUCCAACAUUGUCCUCCAACCAGGCAUCAUUCUCCUCCGCCAUUGGAUCAAGGUUGCCUUCACUUCCACAACUUGGUGUUCUAUCUCCAAUUCCACACAC
rnacentral:lncRNA from 1 species